UGCCUGCCCAGUGAUAAUUAUUAUAUUCAACGGCUGCGGUACUCUGACCGUGCAAAGGUAGCAUAAUCAUUAGCCUGUUAAUUCCAGGCUGGAAUCAAUGGCAAGACGAAGAAAAAGCUGUCUCUUCUUAUUUACUUAGAACUUUUUUCUUUGGUGAAGAAACCAAAAUACUUUAGUGGGACGAGAAGACCCUAUAGAGUUUUAGUGAUUUAAAAAAAGCCUUUUUUUUUAAAUCACUUUGGUUGGGGCAACUGUUUUUAUAAAUUAAACAUAAAUAAACAUUUUGUAGAAUUAAAUCUAAAGCUAAAAUCCAGAAUUUUAUUCUGAAGUUGAAAUAAAUUACCUUAGGGAUAACAGCGUUAUUCUUUUUGAGAGUACAUAUUGACAAAAGAGUUUGCGACCUCGAUGUUGGAUCAAGUUUUCCUGAAGGUGCAGUAGCUUUCAAAGGUUGGUUUGUUCAACCAUAAAAAUCUU
rnacentral:rRNA from 1 species